AGGGCUAUAGCUCAGUUGGUAGAGCAACUCGUUUACACUACGGUUCGAGUCCGUAUAGCCCUA
rnacentral:tRNA from 1 species